rnacentral:rRNA from 1 species
UGCCAGCCGCCGCGGUAAUACGGAGGGGGUUAGCGUUGUUCGGAAUUACUGGGCGUAAAGCGCGCGUAGGCGGAUUGGAAAGUUAGAGGUGAAAUCCCAGGGCUCAACCCUGGAACUGCCUUUAAAACUCCCAGUCUUGAGUUCGAGAGAGGUGAGUGGAAUUCCGAGUGUAGAGGUGAAAUUCGUAGAUAUUCGGAGGAACACCAGUGGCGAAGGCGGCUCACUGGCUCGAUACUGACGCUGAGGUGCGAAAGCGUGGGGAGCAAACAGGAUUAGAUA